UAACCAGCCCAUGCUACAUCAACAGCCCAGGAAAAUGGCCUUACUCUGAACUGACCCAGAAUUCCUCUAUAUUAUAAAGGUGGACGUCAAAACGCAAACGUUUAAUAAUGCAUGUUAUGGUCAGUGUAUUAUGAGGUCAUGAUGACCAACGCCGCCUUGCAUCAAUCCGUUUCGCGGGACACAAGAAGCACUGUCGUUGUGACAGGAGACAACACACCGGCUCAGGCUAACAGGCUAACGCCGCUGACUCCAGUCAGGUGCUCGGAACCAGCAGAUGUUACUCCGUAACAGCGGUAGAAAUCUCAGGCUUAAGGUCCAGCUGUGCCUGCGCGCAGGGCGAUAAGAUGGCCAGAAGUGUUUCCUCUCUCCAGCUAAUGUUAGCCGGCUCUCUCUGAGGGCUGCGGGCUAAUCUUCCAACACCGGGGAUACUCACCUACCGACAGCGGGAGAAGAAAAGGCGCCGGGAUGCUGUUUAUCUCUCCAUCUGUCCGGGACCCAACCGAUACUAAAACGCAGACUAAACUGAGUCCAAGUGGGAAAAAUAAAGCAAUUAAAGUAAUUCUAAAAGCGGCUACACGACAGAGACCACUUCCAAGAUGGCGGUUCCAUCAACUUCAACGUCCCCCUCCCCCACAGCGGUGCAACGUUUGGCCCUCAUGGUGCGUUUCGGUGCCACUCCAAAAAUGCAAAUGCCAUAAUUCCCGGCAAAAAAAAAUAAAAAUACCCGAGGAGCGUUUCUGACCCAGAAAGAAGAAAAAUCUUCACUAACAGGCACCUAAGGGCCCAUCAUGGCAUUCCUACGCGUAAAAGACAGUUGCAAAUAUUUACAGUUACUUGACGCUUGUCUUGAAGAAAAUAGCCAUUUCAUGUUUCAUGAAUAUACGCAAUGUUAAAUGCUGAAACUAUAGCUUAAGACGGAGUUAUUACAUGACAGCAAUGGGUAUUAAAUCUGCGGCCACCCCUCUAGCUAGCCUUAAAUUGCGUCAUUUUUGAGUUUUGAAGGAGAAUUUACGAGGUUCAGUGAACGCAUCUGCAAACUCUUCAAACAUCACCAUUGGCUGCAGUCUUAUCGCUCAAACAAGAUCUUGAUGUUUUAUUGGACACGAAGCAGAUCAUCACAGCGUCAGCAGAGCAUAGGGCAACGUCCUGUCGCUUUGCGGACGCUGAACAUCCAAACAAUAAACAUUAAAUAGGAGUGUUCAUGCUGGAGCUGCAGCACAGAUAGGAUUUAAAUCGAAAGUUGGUACGAAUAAAUACAAAUCCUCUAAAGAUGGGGUUUAAAAAAUGAUAUUAAUUUUAGUUUUAGUUUUUAGUUUUAUGAGGAUUAUUUUCAUCUGCAGUCAUAGUUUUUAUAUGGCUGGUUUUGUGGUCCAAGCCUAAAUCCUCUGUAACUGAGAUGACCUCACUAACUGUAUAUC